AAGAUGUCCCAGGUAGAAUGCCCAGUAUCAGUAAUACUUUUUUUUUGCUUGGUGUCUAUCUUUGCAGGUGAAAGAAGAGACCUGACCAGAAGAGUCCAGCUUUCUCAGUUUUGCCAAAGAUAUCUCAGAUUAAAGCAUUGACGUUGCACAUGUCUCUUGAGCAUGAAAGAUUGUUGAGAGAAGUCUGACUUGUGGGGUAACUUUUCACCAUGCAGGAGACUAAAAAUGGUCUGGCUGAUCUACAGCUCACACAUGUUGGUAAUUAAAGCAUCACUUAUUUGAUGCACCUGGCUGAACUCUUGAGUGGAACACAGAAAGUGGAAAGUUACUCUGUCUGCAUGGUAUUUUACUCCAAAAGAGAAGUAGCAAAAAUGGGAAUGAUUAACAACCAUUCCCUUGGAAGAUGCUGCACAGUAAUCACUUUGUGUUGCAACAGCUCCGUUGGAUUGUCCUGCUCAGCUCUUCAGGAAUUUUUGGAGGGAUUUCUUUGGUUUCUGAAACUAGUAUAAAGGUAAUGAAGCUUUUUAUCUAAUAAAAUAACAGCAAUUAAAAUUCA
rnacentral:lncRNA from 1 species